rnacentral:rRNA from 1 species
CGAUAGCGUAUAUUUAAGUUGUUGCAGUUAAAAAGCUCGUAGUUGGAUUUCGGUUAAGAGCGACCGGUCCGCCGUUUGGUGUGCACUGGUUGGUUUUAACUUCCUGUAGAGGACGUGCUCUGGGUUUAACGACCUGGACUCGGAGUCUACGUGGUUACUUUGAAAAAAUUAGAGUGUUCAAAGCGGGCUUACGCUUGAAUAUUUCAGCAUGGAAUAACACUAUAGGACUCCUGUCCUAUUUCGUUGGUCUCGGGACGGGAGUAAUGAUUAAGAGGAACAGUUGGGGGCAUUCGUAUUUCAUUGUCAGAGGUGAAAUUCUUGGAUUUAUGAAAGACGAACUUCUGCGAAAGCAUUUGCCAAGGAUGUUUUCAUUAA